rnacentral:hammerhead_ribozyme from 1 species
GUACUGAUGAAGAGUCCCAAACCUGGGACGAAACGGCUGUCCAGUAC